GGNUCAGAGCGAACGCUGGCGGCAGGCUUAACACAUGCAAGUCGAACGGGCGUAGCAAUACGUCAGUGGCAGACGGGUGAGUAACGCGUGGGAACGUACCUUUUGGUUCGGAACAACUCNGGGAAACUUCAGCUAAUACCGGAUAAGCCCUUACGGGGAAAGAUUUAUCGCCGAAAGAUCGGCCCGCGUCUGAUUAGCUAGUUGGUGAGGUAAUGGCCCACCAAGGCGACGAUCAGUAGCUGGUCUGAGAGGAUGAUCAGCCACAUUGGGACUGAGACACGGCCCAAAACUCCUACGGGAGGCAGCAGUGGGGAAUAUUGGACAAUGGGCGCAAGCCUGAUCCAGCCAUGCCGNNUGAGUGAUGAAGGCCCUAGGNUGUAAGCUCUUUGUGCGGAGUAUGACGUA
rnacentral:rRNA from 1 species